CCUACUGGUGGCUGCAGUGGGGAAUAUUGCACAAUGGGCGCAAGCCUGAUGCAGCCAUGCCGCGUGUGUGAAGAAGGCCUUCGGGUUGUAAAGCACUUUCAGCGGGGAGGAAGGCGUUAAGGUUAAUAACCUUGUCGAUUGACGUUACCCGCAGAAGAAGCACCGGCUAACUCCGUGCCAGCAGCCGCGGUAAUACGGAGGGUGCAAGCGUUAAUCGGAAUUACUGGGCGUAAAGCGCACGUAGGCGGUCUGUCAAGUCGGAUGUGAAAUCCCCGGGCUCAACCUGGGAACUGCAUUCGAAACUGGCAGGCUAGAGUCUUGUAGAGGGGGGUAGAAUUCCAGGUGUAGCGGUGAAAUGCGUAGAGAUCUGGAGGAAUACCGGUGGCGAAGGCGGCCCCCUGGACAAAGACUGACGCUCAGGUGCGAAAGCGUGGGGAGCAAACAGGAUUAGAUACCCGUGUAGUC
rnacentral:rRNA from 1 species